AGGUCAGAUUGUCAACGCUGCAGUGCUUCUACUACCUUCUGUCUUCAAAGAGGACCCACAGCAGCUAUUUGUCAUUGACAAGGAUCCAGUGUUUCCAACACCAACUGUUGUUCUGACAGACUGCAGGGACGAAGACCCACUGCAGAGUGAGGCCAUCACUGUGAAGAUGGAUAAUGAAGAGAUACUCCUCGAUGAUGGCAGUGUGGACAUCUCCCUUGCCCUGGCUGCUACUUUUUCUCUUUACCACAUCUUCCAAGUUCAGUAUCCCAAAAACUUGAGAAAGACUGUUUCCUUUCUGGAAACUUUUGUUUUCAAAAUGAAGGGUUCUGUUCCAAUUGCUGUGCAAAGGUUUUAUAAUUCACUGUAAAAAGCAAGCCUGGCACUUUCUGUUAUGGUUUUCCAUUUGUUCUGUUUGUGUGAUUUUGCAAAUGUGUUCAACUCGAGUUGCUCUUUACCGCCACUAUUUUUCCAGCAUUGUAAAAAACAUUUCAGCACUUUAUAAUACCUUUUUGCCUUGCAUAGGAUUAUAUUAUGUCUGCUUGUUUACACUGUUUGUUCGCAGUGCAUGGCCCAUCAAGUGACUACAUCACAAGACAUUUAAGAUGGCGCCUGUAAACUUGCGUGACAGAGCUUUCUUGCUUGAGAAGUUACAACUACUUUCCUGAAGCAAAUAAAUUGACUGCAUAUUGGAA